rnacentral:rRNA from 1 species
UACGAAGGGUGCAAGCGUUAAUCGGAAUUACUGGGCGUAAAGGGUGCGUAGGCGGUUGUUUAAGUCUGUCGUGAAAUCCCCGGGCUCAACCUGGGAAUGGCGAUGGAUACUGGGCAGCUAGAGUGUGUCAGAGGAUGGUGGAAUUCCCGGUGUAGCGGUGAAAUGCGUAGAGAUCGGGAGGAACACCAGUGGCGAAGGCGGCCUUCUGGACCAAUACUGACGCUGAAGCACGAAAGCGUGGGGAGCAAACAGG